ensembl:misc_RNA 7SK 7SK RNA
GGACAUGAGGGCGAUCUGGCUACGACAUCUGUCACCCCAUUGAUCGCCAGGGUUGAUUCGGCUGAUCUGGCUGGCUAGGCGGGUGUCCCCUUCCUCCCUCACUGUUCCAUGUGCCUCCCUCCCGAAGUUGUGCACUCAGUCGAAGAGGACAGCCUUCCCCGAAUAGAGAAGGACCGGUCUUCGGUCUUGCGCUCCCCUGCUAGAACCUCCAAAAAAUCUCUCAAGAAUACCUUAGAAUAUACCUAAGAUAGACUUCCUAGCUUCUUUCAACAUGAAGACUCCAAUUCU